rnacentral:rRNA from 1 species
AACGAACGCUGGCGGCAUGCCUAACACAUGCAAGUCGAACGAGACCUUCGGGUCUAGUGGCGCACGGGUGCGUAACGCGUGGGAACCUGCCCUUAGGUUCGGAAUAACUCCCCGAAAGGGGUGCUAAUACCGGAUAAUGUCUUCGGACCAAAGAUUUAUCGCCUUUGGAUGGGCCCGCGUUGGAUUAGCUAGUUGGUAGGGUAAAAGCCUACCAAGGCGACCCAUAGCUGGUCUGAGAGGAUGAUCAGCCACACUGGGACUGAGACACGGCCCAGACUCCUACGGGAGGCAGCAGUGGGGAAUAUUGGACAAUGGGCGAAAGCCUGAUCCAGCAAUGCCGCGUGAGUGAUGAAGGCCUUAGGGUUGUAAAGCUCUUUUACCCGGGAUGAUAAUGACAGUACCGGGAGAAUAAGCGCCGGCUAACUCCGUG